UGUGUGUGUGUGUGUGUGUAUGUAUGUAUGUAUCUAUCUGACACAUAGAUACACACACACACACACACACACACA